GAGAAGACUUUAGAUAUGAUCCAGAGUACCACGGGACACGUGAAACCCUGUGGGAAGCAGGAGGGACCACCCUCCAAGGCUAAAUACUACCUAGUGACCGAUAGCGUAUAGUACCGUGAGGGAAAGGGGAAAAGAACCCCGGGAGGGGAGUGAAAUAGAACCUGAAACCCUGCACUUACAAGCUGUGGAAGCACAUUUCUUGUGUGACCGCGUACUUUUUGUAGAACGGGCCAACGAGUUACGUUAAGUAGCAAGGUUAAGCACUUAAGGUGCGGAGCCGUAGCGAAAGCGAGUUUUAACUGAGCGUUCAGUUACUUGACGUAGACCCGAAACCGGGCGACCUACCCAUG
rnacentral:rRNA from 1 species